GGCAUGGUGGUGCAGUGGGCAGCACUGCUGCCUCCCAGCAAGAAGGUUGUGGGUUUGAAUCUAGCCUGUGGCC